CUCGAAAAUGAAAUUUUUCAGAAAACACAAGCAAUAUCAUUUAAUAAUCACUGUCGAAUAUUAUAUAAAAUAAUAAAAAUAUAUUGAUUAAUUAAUUAAAUAUAAAAAAUAAUUUAACUUUUUAAUUAGUAAGUAAAUUAUUUUAGGUAGAUAACUAUAAAAAAAAUUAAUUAGAUUAAUAGAAUAUUAAUGGUUCAUCAAUAUAAAUAUUAGCUUAUGGAUAAAUACAUUAAAUUACUAAUAAUUAACUAUAAAUAAUAAAUUUAUUAAUUAUUUUAUUAUUUAAGCAAUAAAUAAUGAUUUAGAUAUAUUUAUUGGAUUAAUAAAUUAUUUAAUAUUAUAAUUAAAAUUAAAUUUAGACUUUAAUUAUCCUGGUUUUCACCUAGGAAUAAACUUGUUUUAGAAAAAAAAUGCAGUUCCAGUCUUAUACCAGCUUGUUCUAGAAAAUUAAGAAUUACUAUUUUCUGUUUGGGAACAAAAAGAGGAACAAGGGCUU
rnacentral:lncRNA from 1 species